rnacentral:tRNA from 1 species
GCGCCGGUGGUCUAGCGGUUAUGAUUCUAGCUUCCCAAGCUGGCGAUCCGGGUUCAACUCCCGGUCGGCGCA